ensembl:lncRNA
GGAGGGCCAGUCCCUGCGCCUGGUCUGUGGGGCUGACAGCAACCCCCCUGCUGUGAUGAGCUGGUCCCGGGAGGGAAGAGCCCCUCGCCCCUCGCAGCCCUCAGCACCCGGAGUCCUGGAGUUGCCACACGUGGGGGCUGAUGAUGGAGGGGAAUUCACCUGCCAAGCUCAGAACCCGCUGGGCUCCCAGCAAGUUUCCUUCCGCCUCUCUGUGCAGAGAAGCCCCCCUUCCUGCAGCUGUGUGACUGAGGAGCAGCAGGGCUCCUGGCCCCUGGUCCUCACCCUGAUCAGAGGGGCCCUGAUGGGGCUUGGCUUCCUCCUCGCCUAUGGCCUCACCUGGAUGUACUACACCAGGUGUGGAGGCCACUAGGCAGCAGUGCUGAGAGGCAGAACUGAGCCUCCCUGCUUCUCAAGACAGGGUUCCGGUGAGGACAAGGCGCCCAGAAGACACACACACGAGAGGACAUUGCAGUCAGCUUCUUCCUGGAAUCGCUCAACGCAAACCUUAUCUCCUUUGCACCCAUGAGCUUUGAAUUUGAGGAGGCACCUGUGUGAUGCUGUAGAGUCAAUGCCAGUGAAAGGAGACUUUUAUUUCGUAUGUGUUCCAGGAGCGGUGGCACAGCCCACUGGGCAGGGCCACAGGGGGAAGCACCAAGUAUUGUUGAGGCAGAAGGAGCAGGUGCCAGGAAGGCUUUCCUGGGGUUUCCAUGGAAAGGCAAGGCUGGGCAGGCAAAAUACAUUGGGAUGUGCUAGUUUGAAUAAGCUCUGGUGGGUUUGGGGCUCUGACGAUGGUCUUGAGUAGACUGCUACCAGUUCAGGAAGGAUUUAGAGAAGGGAAAUAGGAUCUUGGUGGUGGGAGGGGUAGUUAAGGAGAAUGGUUGAGGGUUAUGGGCUAAGGAUUGGUUGGUUUGCAGCUGAAAGGUGAGCUCCUGGCAGGGCCCUUUUCUGUCUCUAAGAAUUGGCUGACCCUGGGAGGCGGCGUCCUUCCCAGGCCGGUACAUUUUGUAAGAUGUCCAAGCAUCAUACGAUACAGGAAAUAAAACAUGACUGUGGACUACACCCCCCAAGGAGUGCCUCAUUGUUUCUGAAAUGCCCCCCCCCCCCAUCUCCUACCCUGAGUCUGCUUUUGGUCCUACGUCAGCCCUCCCCUCCCUGCUGCUCCUCUCUCUCCAUCCCCAGCCCGACCAAGAGGCUGAUCCUCUCGGGACCCAGACGUUACCUGGUUCACACCCUGAGUUUCUGGUCUCCAAACCUCCCCUGUCAGCGUGGACAUCUAUCCACAGUAGAAUCAGGAAAACAGCUUGUCUUUUUUAGUUUUAAGUCACCUGCCUCCUCAUAAUUUGUGUAAAAUACCACAUUUUUUUUUCUUCUUAGGGUCACACCUGUGGGAUAUGGAGGUUCCUGGGCUAGGGGUAGAAUCAGGGCCACAGCUGCUGGCCUACACCACAGCCACAGCAACGCCAGAUCCUAGCUGAUUCUUCGACCUACAUCACAACUUAUAGCAACACUGGAUCCUUAACCCACUGAGCGAGGCCAGGGGUUGAACCUGAAUCCUCGAUUAUCUAAUCUUUGGAUUCUUCACCUGCUGAGUCACAACAGGAGUUCUGAAAAUAUCACAUUUUCUUAUUUAUGCAUUUUCUGAGUGACGUAGUAAUGUAAAAUCCACCUUACCCUUUAACGUCUCUGUGGGAAUUUCUGGAGCAAAAUUAUCCCUUAAUUUGCCAAUAUUUGGGUUGUACUACUUCAAUAAAGUCUCCUUGUUUGUUC